UGGCAGCAUUUGCAUUUUUAAAUCGUGAAACAAAAAUUAUCGCCUGAAAACAAAUUGAGCCAGUCUUUCACUGCCGUUCGUGCUGUUUGCGCGGCUUCCGGAGUUGAACGUUGUUGAGAACUGGAUUCAAGUGACUCAAACCCACUUCAGUAGCCCGUCAGGAAGCAUAUGAGCCUCAUUUCCGUCCAGUGCGUUCGAACAUCAUCGUAUAAAUGUAGCUGCGAUCUACUGAAUCCAGCUAGAUCCAAUACUACAGCUUUGAGUUGCAAGUCUCCUUGGAGCAAAUAUUUAGCCAUAGCGAAUCGACACAACAAUGCAGCUUAUCGGCGAAGCAAUGCUCCUGAUUGUGCUUACCAGUUUUAAUACUGACAAGGUGCGAUUAACCUGUGAUGCUGCUGCUGCAUCCAUUGAUGUGGCACCUUCUACUACAACGCCGGAGUCCAGCUCGCGGCGCUUUAUAUUAAACGUUCAGCGACAUGCUACGCAAAGGCCCACUUUAAAUUCGUCGGCCACUUCAACCGUUAGUCAGGGAUGGUUUCGCCAGAAGUUGGCAAUUUAUUCACGAAUUCAGCCCAGAGUGGUCCGUGACACCACGUGGGCGGAAGAAAAUGGACAAUAUUCUGAAGAGUUUGUGUGGAAGAAAUGAUUAUGGUAUGAACUGACCUGAUGUGCAUCGAAGACGUGGCAGUUGAUUACUUAAACAAGAAAAAAUAUGUUGCGGUUACGUGAAGAGAAACUGUUUUGUGUCAAAGUUCAUACCACAUCAACUCGCGAUUAUAGGAGCACUUAAAAACACACUUUGUUGAAGGUCACAAAUGUGCAGGGACAUUUUUUUACAUGAAAAAAUCGAGUUGAAGAUAUACCAACGUCAAUUGAGCACGCGUUAUGGUAGGAUGAAUCUACGUCGCAUAGAAAGGAAAAAGCGACUCUUUUAUUAACAACUCAAGCGGAUCGAUUGCUGGAAAAUAGAGUGUUGCAAUUUGAAAAUAGUCCUGAAUAUUAAUUUAUUAUGCAUUUAUUCAGAAAUUUCCGUACAAAAAAGGAAGGAGAGGGAGAAAAAGAUUGAAAACCAUGAAUUUUGGCAAAAGUAUAAAAUAGAUGCUAUGCAAUGCUCUUUUGUAGUUUUUAAGCGUUGAAUAUAGUCAGCGUUGAAGACGGAUUCAUAUAGACCAAUAUAAGUGCUGUGUUGUAAAUAAACAAACUCGAUUUAAAUCUAAUGGAAAUAGAAUAAAU